UNGGUUGAAAGCCUGGUCAGCUAUUCUGCAA
rnacentral:piRNA from 1 species